rnacentral:lncRNA from 1 species
CUUACUUGCUAGACCAAUAUAACAUAAUAAACACACCAUGAGAUCAAUAAGUUUACCAAUGAAAAAAAUAAAACAUUAACAGGGAUAACUGGAAUUGUCAAAAAAGACUAAAUCCCUAAUAAUUUCCAAAACCCAAGGUUCAUCUAUCAACUUGUAUAUGUUUUUUUUUUUCAGCCAUCAAGUUUAAACUAAAAAUAUUUCUG